rnacentral:sRNA from 2 species
CCAGUCAGCCUCCGUCCAUCAUCCCAGCAAAUUUCGUUUCGUAAAACACCCCGAAAAAAAAACCUUCAGAUGAUGGUUUGAAUGUCUCGGAAUACCCCAGCCCCGUAUUUCCACUACCCUGUUUCUUAUUUCCAAGGUAUAUCUCCAAAGACCCAUGUGAAAAUGACGAACAUCCCAUUGGCUCGCGAUGUCCGCAUCUCUGCGCAGCUUUGCAUGGAGUUAAUGUGCGAAGAAGUUGACACGAUCUGAUAUUGUCAGUGACUUAACUCUUCACCUACGACGCUUAAAACUAUGGCCAAACAGGACAUGCCCUAAACAUGGAAUAUGCCUUCGAGAUAUCCUGUUCUUUGACUUGACUAUUAUCCGAAUUACAUGUAACUAUUUGAGUUGACGGUCGUAACUGAGGAAAUUCGUGGAAGGCAUACAUACUCUCGACAAGCCCAAUUCCUUCCUCCCAUCUCCACUUUUGAAGUGGAAAAGAUGCGGGAGAAAUAUCACAGCCCUUCUCCCUCAACCCGCCUCUCCGGCAGCUAGCUAUGCUGAUUGAGAAAGAAAACCAAAUCCAAGAUCCAAAAAUGGAAACACUAGAUUGAUAUAUUUUCCGGGGUCCCCCAGAAAUUAAAAUGAAAAGAGUAACAAUGCCACCGCAUUGCCUCCCGCUCCCCAUUGUUCGAUCAGUCAUGGUCCCGAUCUUAAAAUACUAGUUAGUAGUGUUCCCCAUUGAACCAUCUGUGAAGACCGUCCGCUCUCUUAGUUAGUGGUAGCGUACCCCUCACAUCCUCUCAACAACUCUUCACAAACCAGGGUGGCGAUAAAGCACGGACAGUUCAAUGUUAUCAUUGGAUUGUUGGGCGGAUUUUUGUCCGAUUCGUGUUCCAUGACACGGGUGCAGUAUAUACAUCUGCACAUCCGAUCUACUGCGAAUAAUCAAUCGGUGGGCGGCGAUUAAACCAAAAUCAAAUCAAGGAUGGGAGAUAAGUUUACAUUUAUGAUCGUUGGGAAAAAUCGCGAUUGUAUAUAUAUAUAUAUAUAUAUCGGAAAACGGAAUAUAAAACCGUCGUGUAAUGCUACUUUCUCUUUCAUAUAAUCUUCAAACUGAAAGCGUUAAAAAUAAUGUC